rnacentral:rRNA from 1 species
UUGUGGAAGUUAAAAUCGUAACAAGGUUUCCGUAGGUGAACCUGCGGAAGGGAUCAUUACACAUUCGGGGCGCUUCGGCGCUCCUUAUACACCCACCCUCGGCCUACGUGUACCUCUAUAGCUUCCUCGGCGGGCUCGCCCGCCGCCAGGAACCCACGAAACCCCUUGCUUUAUACGCGAAAACUUCUGAUAACAAACCUAAAUUAUCACAACUUUCAACAAUGGAUCUCUUGGUUCUGGCAUCGAUGAAGAACGCAGCGAAAUGCGAUAAGUAGUGUGAAUUGCAGAAUUCAGUGAAUCAUCGAAUCUUUGAACGCACAUUGCGGCCAUAGGUAUUCCUUUGGCCAUGCCUGUUCGAGCGUCAUUUACACCCUCAAGCCUAGCUUGGUGUUGGGCGUCUGUCCCGCCGUUUUCGCGCGCGGACUCGCCUCAAAGUCAUUGGCGGCGGUCGUGCCGGCCCCUCGCGCAGCACAUUUGCGCUUCUCGGAGGCCCGGCGGAUCCGCGCUCCAGCAAGACCUUUCAUGACUGACCUCGGAUCAGGUGAGACCCG